UACAGAGGGGGCAAGCGUUGUUCGGAAUUACUGGGCGUAAAGGGCGCGUAGGCGGCCCGCUAAGUCGAACGUGAAAUCCCCAGGCUUAACCUGGGAACUGCGUCCGAUACUGGAUGGCUUGGAUUUGGGAGAGGGAUGCGGAAUUCCAGGUGUAGCGGUGAAAUGCGUAGAUAUCUGGAGGAACACCGGUGGCGAAGGCGGCAUCCUGGACCAAUAUUGACGCUGAGGAGCGAAAGCCAGGGGAGCAAACGGG
rnacentral:rRNA from 1 species